AGAGUUUGAUCCUGGCUCAGAUUGAACGCUGGCGGCAUGCUUUACACAUGCAAGUCGAGCGGCAGCGCGGGGGCAACCCUGGCGGCGAGCGGCGAACGGGUGAGUAAUGCAUCGGAACGUGUCCCGUAGUGGGGGAUAACCCGGCGAAAGCCGGGCUAAUACCGCAUACGCCCUACGGGGGAAAGCAGGGGAUCUUCGGACCUUGCGCUAAUAGAUGAGCCUAAGUCGGAUUAGCUAGUUGGUGGGGUAAAGGCCUACCAAGGCGACGAUCUGUAGCGGGUCUGAGAGGAUGAUCCGCCACACUGGGACUGAGACACGGCCCAGACUCCUACGGGAGGCAGCAGUGGGGAAUAUUGGACAAUGGGGGCAACCCUGAUCCAGCCAUGCCGCGUGUGUGAAGAAGGCCUUCGGGUUGUAAAGCACUUUAAGCAGGGAGGAAGGCUCGCAACCUAAUACGUUGCGGGAGUGACGUUACCUGCAGAAUAAGCACCGGCAAACUCCGUGCCAGCAGCCGCGGUAAUA
rnacentral:rRNA from 1 species